rnacentral:lncRNA from 1 species
UCUGCUCUCUCUAUCUGGGCCCAGCUUGGUGCCUGCAGUGGCGGUUUUUUUGUUUGUUUUUUUGCGAUUGGGAUGUUGGGGUCGGCUCACCUGAUGCUUGGCUGCCGCUCCAUCGGCUGCUUCUUUGCUGGUGAAAGCAAAUAAAAGGGGCUGACGGGAGAGAAGCAAGAAUAUGUACGGCCCCUCGUCAAUCGACCAGGCUGCGAAUGUACCGGUGUUGUCUUGUUCUAGAUAUAGGUUACCUUACGCACUAGGACCCUGUUUGGUUGGUACCCACAGCUCGCCACACCAAGCCGUAAGUUUCUUGCCAAAAUUUCUUGACUUGCGGUGUCACCAGGCUUUUUAACAUGCUCCAGUUUAGUUUCGCACUAUAACUCGCCAAAUGUGUGGCGAGCAAAUCGAGCGCGAUAGAUCUGGU